rnacentral:sRNA from 1 species
CCAUUGCGUUAGGGAUUGAAGUGACAUCCUUUUUUUGCUGCCAUAAAUGGCAAAAAAAGAUACAACGGAAAGCCCGACCCUUU